rnacentral:rRNA from 1 species
GUAAUAUAUCGGAACGUGCCCAGUCGUGGGGGAUAACGUAGCGAAAGUUACGCUAAUACCGCAUACGAUCUAAGGAUGAAAGCGGGGGACCGUAAGGCCUCGCGCGAUUGGAGCGGCCGAUAUCAGAUUAGGUAGUUGGUGAGGUAAAGGCUCACCUAGCCAACGAUCUGUAGCUGGUCUGAGAGGACGACCAGCCACACUGGAACUGAGACACGGUCCAGACUCCUACGGGAGGCAGCAGUGGGGAAUUUUGGACAAUGGACGCAAGUCUGAUCCAGCCAUUCCGCGUGCAGGAUGAAGGCCCUCGGGUUGUAAACUGCUUUUGUACGGAACGAAAAGGUCUCUCCUAAUACGAGGGGCUCAUGACGGUACCGUAAGAAUAAGCACCGGCUAACUACGUGCCAGCAGCCGCGGUAAUACGUGGGGUGCAAGCGUUAAUCGGAAUUACUGGGCGUAAAGCGUGCGCAGGCGGUUAUAUAAGACAGAUGUGAAAUCCCCGGGCUCAACCUGGGAACUGCAUUUGUGACUGUAUAGCUAGAGUACGGUAGAGGGGGAUGGAAUUCCGCGUGUAGCAGUGAUAUGCGUAGAUAUGCGGAGGAACACCGAUGGCGAAGGCAAUCCCCUGGACCUGUACUGACGCUCAUGCA